CCUGAGUUUACAGCUCACUCAACCCCUGUGAACAUACCUAUACUGUUGCCUUCGGCGGUAGGAGUCCCUAAAAGGACGUCUCCCGGCCCUCCCGUACGACGGGGGGCGCCCGCCCGGAGGAACCCCUAAACUCUGAUUUUAAGUACGUACUUCUGAGUGAACACAAGCAAAUAAUCA
rnacentral:misc_RNA from 1 species